rnacentral:rRNA from 1 species
GACGAACGCUGGCGGCGUGCUUAACACAUGCAAGUCGAACGGUGAAGGGAUCAGCUUGCUGGUUCUGGAUGAGUGGCGAACGGGUGAGUAACACGUGAGUAACCUGCCCCCUUCUUCUGGAUAACCGCAUGAAAGUGUGGCUAAUACGGGAUAUUCUGGGUCUGUCGCAUGAUGGGUCUGGGAAAGAUAUUGUUUCGGUGGGGGAUGGGCUCGCGGCCUAUCAGCUUGUUGGUGGGGUGAUGGCCUACCACGGCGGUGACGGGUAGCCGGCCUGAGAGGGGGGACGGUCACACUGGGACUGGGACACGGCCCAGACUCCUACGGGAGGCAGCAGUGGGGAAGAUUGCACAAUGAGCGCAAGCCUGAUGCAGCGACGCCGCGUGAGGGAGGGAGGCCUUCGGGAUGUAAACCUCUUUCGCCAGUGAAGCAGGCCUGCUCCUUGUGGGUGGGUUGACGGUAGCUGGAUAAGAAGCGCCGGCUAACUACGUG